UGGCUAACGGGACACAAUCAAAAAAAUAAAACUGGAACAAUACAGAGAAGAUUAGCAUGGCCCCGGUGCA
rnacentral:snRNA from 1 species